GGGGGGUCGGGGAAAUUAAAGGACAAGGAACUGGAGCCAGGCAGGGGGAGCGGGGACGCUGCUGUGUCGUCGUUGUCGUCGUCGUGUCGUUCCCCCGGGUGCCAACGUGCCCCAGGGCAUGGAAACUCUCCCUGCCAGUGGGCAGCUCCUGCCUGUGCUGCCAGACACGUGGAGCGGCUUUUGCUCGGGCAGGAGGUCGGGAUCUCAGGCUGCAAACCGCCCGGGAGGAGGUGGGGGGCAGACCGGUGAGGUUUUGGGGUUUUGCCUCCCCCCUCCAGGUUUGCGACACCGAGCUGUCCAUGCAUGGGAUUUCGGGAAGCAUCUGGCGCGGGGCUGACGUCGCCGAGGUCGUGUGCUCAGCUUUGCCAGCGUUCCGUGUUCCCGGUGUCACCUUCCCGGUUGGAGGGGGGUGGGGGGUGGUUUGCAGCCGGGAUCGAUGAGCUCUGGGAAGUCAACCCAAGGAAGAUGGGAAAGAAGGGGGGCUUUGCCUGGCCGGGGCAGCUCCUUUACUACGCGCUCGAUACGUCUGGGCAUCGCUCCAGGGCACGUCCCGUGGGAUGCCCGCCCGGGCAUCCCCUUCCUGUGGCAGAGGUCUGUUCCCUGUGCCCGGUCCCAGCGCGGCAGCGAGCGAUAAAGUAGGUCAGGCGCUGGGCUGUGCGCGGCACCACGGCUCUCCGGGCCCCAGGAGCAGGUCCCGUGGCCGUCAAGAGGACGCCCUUGAAGGGUGGCUCCCGACAAGGCGAGGGACGUGGGGAGCGCUCAGCCGGCACGGAGAGGGAAAGGCACCCAACAUCCCCAUCCUGGGGUACGGUGCCACCGGGACAGGCCUUUGCCACCGUAGGCUGUGUGCCAGCGCUUGUGUACCUUGUGGGAGUCACCAGCCACCCAGAUGUCCCACGUGGCCACCUGGGCUGGUGGCUGUGACCACGGGGCACUGCCCAGGGAGGACUGGUCUGGAAGGGUGGAUUUGGGUAGGGGGGAGGCAGGGGAAGGUGUCCAGCUCUCGCUGUGGGGGUGCUGAAGAGGCAGAGGUCCUUCGGGUACCCCCACCGAGCAGGGUGUUGCCAGCACCUCCCCAGAUGAGGUGUCCCCCCCCCCCGUUUUGGGAGGAGAGGGGUUAAGCCAAAGCAUCCGAGCUAAGCUCUGGCAGGAGGUAGCUAAAACCUCCCAGGCCUGCGAGCUCUCCUGGAGAACAAAGCUCGCAAAGUGGUGGUA
rnacentral:lncRNA from 1 species